rnacentral:rRNA from 1 species
UACGUAGGGGGCUAGCGUUGUCCGGAUUUAUUGGGCGUAAAGAGCGUGUAGGCGGCCAGGUAGGUCUGCUGUGAAAACUCGAGGCUCAACCUCGAGACGUCGGCGGAAACCAUCUGGCUAGAGUCCGGAAGAGGAGAGUGGAAUUCCUGGUGUAGCGGUGAAAUGCGCAGAUAUCAGGAGGAACACCAAUUGCGAAGGCAGCUCGCUGGGACGUAACUGACGCUGAGACGCGAAAGCGUGGGGAGCGAACAGG